ACGAUGCUUCUCUCUUGCUUUGAGUUUUUUGCGUUGUUUGAUGUGCAUGUAUCUUCGAAAUCGUGAUGAUUGACAUUGCAAAUGCUAUUGUAACAAGGAGUCACAUGGAAGAAAUUGAUAAUUUUCUUUCGUCUCUUUUGAAUUCUGCUGAUAAUUUUAUUUGACUUGCAUGUCCCCAUAGGGUGUCACGGUUGCUCUUGAUUGGUGCGGCAAUCGAUAUUGGUUCUUUUUUCGAGAUUCGAGAUGAUGAUAUAAUAAAUUCAAGCGAAGGUAUGUAAUUUUUUUAUUUUUAUUUUGGUGUUUAUCGUGAGUUUUUUUAUUUUGUGUAUUGCAUUUGUUGAUGGUGAAUCUGUUGAUUUUGUUGGUCGAAGGGCCCUAAUCGACUUAAAUUUUUUGAUACUCUUAACAAAGCUUGCGAGAAUUAUAAGUUAAUUAAGGUACAUAUCCACUCCACUACUUUUUAAUUCGUUGAUCACGGGUAACCAAUUUUAAGUUUCUUUGAAGUCUUAUUCAGAGUCUUUUAAAUUACUCUAGCUUGGAAGUCUAAGUUUGGUGAUUAUAUCCGGUGUGGUUCCAAAGACUGUUAUUCGGGUAAGUAAAUCUGCUAAUUUAGGAUAGAUAUAUUGAUAAAUAAAGGCCUGAAUUUCUUAUGUGUUUGCCUCGCUCAAACCCUACUUCAUCAUCCUCUUCCGAAAUUCGAGAUUCUGAAAUAGAAAUUCCGUGUUUCAAACCCUACUUCAUUAUAACGCCCUAUGUGUGUUUAGUUUCUCCUUCUACGUGUUUCUCUAAUUCUACCAAUCUGUUUCGAAUCUCUUUAUUAAGAAAUCGAAAGUCUGGAAUUCGAAUCGGUAUACUAUCUCUUUCAGACGUAGAUCUAAUUUGGGUUUCGCGUAUAUGGAUAGUUACAAAAGAUUUAUUAUGAUUUUUUGAAACUCGGUUUCAAAGGUUUGUGAAGAUUUGGAGUUUCUGCUGCCACGGAGAAGAAGCUGUACAGAGAGAACUUGAUUUUCCAGCUCGAGGUGAUUUUUUUUAUUGUGCUCGAGGAUUGCUUGGGCUGAGGAGAAGAUCGAAUUGAAAGAGAUGCACAUGUUAAGAAGAUACUGUUGCUGCCAUAGUUUUGAGAGUGUGCAGCUAGAAGAGGUGAGAAUGGUGAUGGUGGUGAUUUGCAUAAGAAAGAUGGUGUUGUAGCUGUUGUUGAAGUAAUUAGGCAGAGUUAGCCAAUUAGCAAAACAUUUUUGAAUGCAAGCCAAUGGAGUGAAUUUAACGAGAUGGCGAUGGAGUUAUUAUUUACGAUAUGCUAAGGUGAUACUCUUAUCCUUCGGUAUCACUCGAUGAUUUUAAUCGUUCUCAAUUAACUAUACAUUUAUAGUCUGGAUUGCAGUGGAGAUGCUGGAGGAGUGUUUUGAUUCAUUAUGAAUUGGAUACUCAUUAUGUCAAUAAGGUUGUCAUUUAUUCAGUUUCUUGUUGGCAAUGUUUUUUUUGUCUUGCAUCAUUAUCUUCAUAAUCUACCGGUUUAUAUAGUGUACAUGCUGUUGGGAAAUCGAUAUAUCCCCCAGACAAUAAAAACUCGGUUUAUAUACAUUUAAUUAACAUUCAAACAAUGAAAAUCAGUUUGAUUUGUCCUUUUUGGUGAAUUACUUGCAGGCUUACAUGGCUUGCAUUAUGCAAGAUCAUUGGUAAGUCUCCAUUUACAGGAUAUCCAAUGUACUGUUAUGUUUUGCAUCGAACUUCAGAGCAAAUUGAUCACAUCUUAAUUCUGAUAAUAUUGCUUUUAGAACUGAGCAAUGUUGAUCUAGCGACUCAUAUAGUCUCACUCUAUGAAUUUUUCUCUGGAUAUGAGUUUCUUUUGAGUGAUUAAACUGGAAAAAUUAUCAAAAUUGUAGCAUCCCUAUCACAUUAACAUUGUUAAGAAAAAAAUGUGAAUGCAGUGUGUACCUUCAGGGUAUUUUAAUGAUUUCAAUUGCAGAGAAACAACAAUAGAGGCAACUGCGAAGAAAGGUAACUUUAAUACGCCUAGUAACAUUUGAUCGAGCUUGGGUUCUUUAAAUCCUCCAGUCACAGAUAUACAGUUACCUCUUGAAAUUGGGCGAAAUCGGGCUGAGGUUUUAUUCGCAUUUCCAUGGUUUUAUUCGCAUUUCCAUUAUGUAUUUCAGUAGUUAAUAAUUUUAUUCGCACUUCCACCAUUCUCACUGGACCCAAGUACCUGAUUGGAGAUUAACUUUGGAGAUACCACAUCGGCAUUACUUUGAUGUGUAUCUUGAGCAGUAUUCUGAUAGCUCCUAUUUUUUAGUUCAGCAUUACAUUGUUCAUGCUCAUGAAAUGAAAAUGUGAAGAAAGGUGAGACCUACUUCUAUGAUCAGGAACUAUCUUAAUUGGAUGUUUUUGCAGUACUGCAACUAUCUGUAUUUUAAGGAUUCUUCUUUGUAGAAAAUGCUCACGGAUGGUAUGGCAGAAGCGCUGUGUUUGAAAUAAAAUGAAGUGGCUAGCUCCAAAUACAUGUUAAGAUCCUUCAAAGACAAAAAAAAAAAUGCAAGGCUUGAGAGUGGUAAUCAUUUCAAGGAAAAAUCUUUUGGACAAGCUGGACACAUGUGAACUGAAUGCUCAUCUCAUAGAACCAUGUUGUGGUUGUGCCUCACAACCAUGGUUGAUGGAAGCUAGAUAUCACAACCGAAUGAGGUGAUCUUGACUGGACAAUUGGCGUUUAUGAACGUGCUAACCAACAAUUACUGGCGGUCAUCCCCGACGAGUGUGAUUCGACAGUCCAGCUAACCCUCAACUACGAAUAUCCAUUGACUGUUGAUGUAAAUCAGAGGUAAUAAAGUAGCAUAUGGAGGAAACUGCCAACGUGUUGCUGAAGAAAAAUAAGUCAAGAAACGAACUGCCUUGGUUUUUAACACGGAUGGGAAGGAAUAUAGAUUACUUAUGUAAAUGUUCAUAGACUUUGUUGCAUGAAAAAAGUAUGAACUAGAUGGUUGUCCAACUUGUGCACACUAUGUCAAGUAUCUACAUAUAUGGUUUUAAAAUCUAGGCAGUACGAUUCUAAUUCAAUUUUGUUAUUCAUUUUUAUUUUCUUGUCAUAUGUUCGCAUUACACAAAUGCAAGAUAAAAUUUCACAUCGCUGCUUCCAUAUGUUCGCAUUAUUUUUAUGUGACAACUUAAUCUUUGUAAACAAUUUUAAGAAUCAUUUGAGUUCGU